rnacentral:rRNA from 1 species
GACGAACGCUGGCGGCGUGCCUAACACAUGCAAGUCGAGCGAGUAGAUUUCCUUCGGGAAUGAAGCUAGCGGCGGACGGGUGAGUAACACGUGGGCAACCUGCCUCAUAGAGGGGAAUAGCCUCCCGAAAGGGAGAUUAAUACCGCAUAAGAUUGUAGCUUCGCAUGAAGUAGCAAUUAAAGGAGCAAUCCGCUAUGAGAUGGGCCCGCGGCGCAUUAGCUAGUUGGUGAGGUAACGGCUCACCAAGGCGACGAUGCGUAGCCGACCUGAGAGGGUGAUCGGCCACAUUGGGACUGGAACACGGCCCAGACUCCGACGGGAGGCAGCAGUGGGGAAUAUUGCGCAAUGGGCGAAAGCCUGACGCAGCAACGCCGCGUGCGGGAUGACGGCCUUCGGGUUGUAAACCGCUUUCAGCAGGGACGAAAAUGACGGUACCUGCAGAAGAAGCUCCGGCUAACUACGUGCCAGCCGCCGCCGUAAAAC